rnacentral:rRNA from 1 species
AUUGAACGCUGGCGGAAUGCUUUACACAUGCAAGUCGAACGGCAGCACGGGGCAACCUGGUGGCGAGUGGCGAACGGGUGAGUAAUAUAUCGGAACGUGCCCAGUCGUGGGGGAUAACGCAGCGAAAGCUGUGCUAAUACCGCAUACGAUCUACGGAUGAAAGCGGGGGAUCGCAAGACCUCGCGCGAUUGGAGCGGCCGAUAUCAGAUUAGGUAGUUGGUGGGGUAAAGGCCCACCAAGCCAACGAUCUGUAGCUGGUCUGAGAGGACGACCAGCCACACUGGAACUGAGACACGGUCCAGACUCCUACGGGAGGCAGCAGUGGGGAAUUUUGGACAAUGGGCGCAAGCCUGAUCCAGCAAUGCCGCGUGCAGGAUGAAGGCCUUCGGGUUGUAAACUGCUUUUGUACGGAACGAAAAGGCUCUGGUUAAUACCUGGGGCUCAUGACGGUACCGUAAGAAUAAGCACCGGCUAACUACGUG